CUCAUUGUAUAAAAGGCCGUCGCCAGGCAAGACUCAAAAUUAUGAACGACUUGUGUUUUUGGAAAUUAUGAGGAGAUAAGCCACCGUUUCUCAAACAUUAUUCCCGUUCGAGGCUCAGAUUACUUCCGCACCAGAAAACAUCUUAAUCCACAAAUUAGCAAAAAGAAGACUAUAAGUGAGUGAUCCUGAUCAGAUCUUGACUGAACAGAAUUUUGAGUAGAUGCCGGAAAAUGAAUGAGAACGAAUCUUCACGCAAGCGGCAAUCGGCAGCUAUCGGGCGGAAUGUAUCAGUGGAUGAACCUGUUCGAUCUCGAGAUUCAGGAGGCUCUAAAGGCUCUUCUUUAAUAGCUGGAAUAUUUGGGGUUGGUGCCUGUAUUGGUGUUGCUGCCCUUUUGGGCUGGAUUUUGGGAAAGAAGUCUUAGUCAUCUCCGCUGUAACUGCAGCUACUAUCCAAACGCUUGAAUGUGGUCUAAAAGCGGUGGACCUUCCAGCUUUGAACCAGAGAAAAACAUUUUCCAUUUCAGACAACAGACAUUUACUUUGCAACAUAUGGGGCCCCAAAGAGAGUCAACGACGGCAAACUUUGCGGGUAUUUGAGGUAGAAUUUAUAAAUUGUCAAAGGAAAGUGAUCAGCUUAAAUUCCUCAAUGUACUCUAAUUCAAGCCACUAAAAAGUACUUUUCAUGACUAAAUAGAAACGAAUAACCGAAGACAGUUUGGUUGUAAAACCUCAAAGAGUUAGGAAUGUUGGUUAAUACAAUAGCUUGAGGUGCCGUGUAACUGUUGGCGUCUUUAAUAUGAAAUGACAACAUUCCCACUAAAUCCAAAUUUCAUACAAUUUGUUACACCUACUAAAACAACCCUGUUCAUACUUUGGGUUAAAACUGUUAAAGGAUGUGAGUUCACAAUUUUUAUGAAUGUAUGUGCCCUUUGUUUUCAUGUAAGUGUUUAAGCGUUAGUAUUCCCUUUCAAUUUCAUUGGUUGUUAGACUACUACGAGUUUAUAUUCCUUAGAGGCAUUUAAAAAAAUUUUUGUUUGGCAUUAAGAUUGGAAGAAUCUGGGUGCGUGAUAUCAUUUUCAUAACAAGUCGGCGAGGGUGAUGUUGGCAUGAAUAAUUCACAAAAGACUUUUUUGUCGUGUUGUAAUAAUAAGAGACUUUCAAUUUUCGAAAUCAUUGAAAUGUGUAAGCCACAAACCAAUAUUACUGAGAAACAGCAUUGCGAGAGCCAAAAAUAAGCCUAUUGAUGGGCAGGUAACUAAAAAUGUACGUAAACAUGUUUUGAAAAGUUUGACUUGAAUAUCCAGCUAUGGUAGACAGAAUAAACCACAUGAGGAAAACGUGUACAAAUUAUUGAUACAUUUUUAAAACCAAAUGAACAGACAUGGACAUGCAGCCUCUCUUUUCAGAUCAGUUAAUUCGGUUCCAGAGGAGAUAUAGUGAAAGGAAAUGUGACAAAAAACAGUCUCUAGUUUCCAUUCUUUCUUUAUCAAUUUUUACUUACAUAAGUCGAUUUGAAACCACGUACCUUAUUCAAAACAACUUGGUAGACCUUCUAGUUUAUUUACCCUAAUAAAUUUGUAUCAUUUUCAAAGGUGAUUUCAACUGAUUUCACGUUAAAUACAAUAAAAAUUUUAUGAAGUAGAACCAUACUUAUGUACUCCAUUGAAAAAGUAAAUGCCGAAAAUUACGCAUAGCCUAUUUUUUCGGCACUAUGCAUGGGUACACUUGGAGUCGUCCUUUGUAAAUUGACAAAAUAGGGCAGCUGUGUAAUGGAAUCAUAUUAAAGCCACCAAUCAGACUCACAGCAAGAGAUUAAAAAUGCUGUGCAAUCUCUAACUUGAAGCAUUUACAUCAAUUAAUGCAGAAUUGAGUGGGUAUUUUUUGCUUAAAAAUCAAUGUCCAGAGUUCAACUAAUAACUAAAUAACAACUUAUUCUAACAUUAAUGAAAUGAGCUUAGUCACAGUAUCAUUCCUUAUCUACACUUUCCACAUACUACAAGCGCACAUUCCUGAAAUAUGGAAACAUGCCUCCAUUAUGCCUUAUAACAGGUGUAUUGCCAAAGAAAAAGUUUGAUUUGGGCUUUGUUAAAAUCACUGAACAUGUAUUCCCACUUAACGUCCAGUCACUGUAUUAACCUUAUUAACAAACAUCAUUAUUAGAAAUGACUCUGCUAAUGAGCCUAUUGACCAAUAGCGCCUCGUUUGGCUGACGUCAUAGAUGCAUGAUGCAGAUGUAGGUAUCAGAGUAGUGGUGGGUGUGGCAAACCAAAACCAGAGUAAUGUGUAAGGAAAAUUCAACAUGGCUGACAAAGAUGAUUAAUAUCGCGAUCGGAAAAAUAAGAAAAAGAAUGUUCCUUUAAUAAGGAAGUGGCAAUGAUCCACCACAAGAACGAAUAAGUAUAGGCUUCAGCUUACAAUGGUUUUUGAGUAAAAGUAUAUUUUGUAUAAAAUAAUUCUGGAGUGGUUCUUUCCUUUCUACUGCAAACGUUUUAGUGCCAGCAAAGUGCUUUUGAAAUGAUUGGUACAUUAUUAUUUCAGUUUUCAUGUUAAAAAUAGAAUUAGACAAAAGACUUUAAUGAAUUUGUUUACGAUAGUUUUGCAUGGUGUAACAAUAUAAAGGACAUUUCGAACUUGGAAUGGGCUGUCGAGACAUAUUCGGGGACAUUGAUCACUGGUGGUAAAAACCUCACGUUAGACGCGAUGAGUGCAUAAGUAGAACACCUCUCUCAAAAACACAAACAAACUCUAGUUCAUUUUAUCACUUCAAGAUAAAAUUCAUUAUUCUCAUCAGCAAGCAUACGUUUUGUAUUCUGGGUUCCAGGUUGCGGCCGCGAGCAGUCUGUUGUCAAUAUAGAGGCAAAUAGCUGUAAAUAGUAUUGAGUGCGCUAAGGACACCUGACCACCCCCCCAUGGCAAGAAUUCCAGACAAAAAAAACACAUAUCUCGAAUAUGUGGGUCAACCCUGAAAGUGUUACAUGGAACUCAAACUCGCGUUCUGCUACUGCCUCCAAAAAUCACUUCGGUAUAGCUCCUUGUUGCCGCUACAUGAAAAUAAACCUGCCGCCCCCCCCCUUCACCACCAUUGAAUGUCUGGGAGCGACGGGCAACAUUGCCUCGAUUUAAAAUAAAUAAACAAAUAGUUCAUAUGAAUGCUUUGAAUUUGCCCUUAAAGUGUUACGGUAACAAAUUCACGUUCAAUCUUUACAACACUACGCCAAGCACCCGCUAGUUCGUGGGGGGGGGUUCCAAUUCCGACCGUAUUUGCCAACGGUAGAAACAAUCAGCGUACUUUCUGAAAUUCAUUAUGAUAAGUAAUUUAGUAACGUAAUAAGAACUUCUAGUCAAGGAACCAAAUGAAACACACUGUGACUACCACCCAUUUGUUCCGAUGGGGCUAGUUUUCUGGUUGGCAAGCAUGCCAUGUUUUUUUAGCCCAGAGGAUGCCAAGCAUGGCAAGGAUUUGGGCAAGCGUGCCCCCAUUUUUAUGGAAAUGUAGGCUAUGCGUAAAAUUAUGAUUGAGAAACUAAAAUAAAGAAAAAGAUUAGCGGUAAA